GAUGAACGCUGGCGGCGUGCCUAAUACAUGCAAGUCGAGCGAACAGAUGAGGAGCUUGCUCCUCUGACGUUAGCGGCGGACGGGUGAGUAACACGUGGAUAACCUACCUAUAAGACUGGGAUAACUUCGGGAAACCGGAGCUAAUACCGGAUAAUAUAUUGAACCGCAGGGUUCAAUAGUGAAAGACGGUUUUGCUGUCACUUAUAGAUGGAUCCGCGCCGCAUUAGCUAGUUGGUAAGGUAACGGCUUACCAAGGCAACGAUGCGUAGCCGACCUGAGAGGGUGAUCGGCCACACUGGAACUGAGACACGGUCCAGACUCCUACGGGAGGCAGCAGUAGGGAAUCUUCCGCAAUGGGCGAAAGCCUGACGGAGCAACGCCGCGUGAGUGAUGAAGGUCUUCGGAUCGUAAAACUCUGUUAUUAGGGAAGAACAAAUGUGUAAGUAACUAUGCACGUCUUGACGGUACCUAAUCAGAAAGCCACGGCUAACUACGUG
rnacentral:rRNA from 1 species